UACGUAGGGCGCAAGCGUUAUCCGGAGUUAUUGGGCGUAAAGAGCUCGUAGGCGGUUUGUCGCGUCUGCCGUGAAAGUCCGGGGCUCAACUCCGGAUCUGCGGUGGGUACGGGCAGACUAGAGUGAUGUAGGGGAGACUGGAAUUCCUGGUGUAGCGGUGAAAUGCGCAGAUAUCAGGAGGAACACCGAUGGCGAAGGCAGGUCUCUGGGCAUUAACUGACGCUGAGGAGCGAAAGCAUGGGGAGCGAACAGGA
rnacentral:rRNA from 1 species